rnacentral:rRNA from 1 species
CCUACGGGUGGCUGCAGUGGGGAAUAUUGGACAAUGGGCGCAAGCCUGAUCAAGCCAUGCCGCGUGGGUGAAGAAGGCCUUCGGGUUGUAAAGCCCUUUUGUUGGGAAAGAAAAGCAGUCGGUUAAUACCCGAUUGUUCUGACGGUACCCAAAGAAUAAGCACCGGCUAACUUCGUGCCAGCAGCCGCGGUAAUACGAAGGGUGCAAGCGUGACUCGGAAUUACUGGGCGUAAAGCGUUCGUACUGGGUUGAAAGCCCUGGGCUCAACCUGGGAAUUGCAUUGGGUACUGGCAGGCUAGAGUGCGGUAGAGGGUAGUGGAAUUCCCGGUGUAGCAGUGAAAUGCGUAGAGAUCGGGAGGAACAUCCGUGGCGAAGGCGACUACCUGGACCAGCACUGACACUGAGGCACGAAAGCGUGGGGAGCAAACAGGAUUAGAUACCCGAGUAGUC